UGGGGAAUUUUGCACAAUGGGGGAAACCCUGAUGCAGCGACGCCGCGUGAUUUAGAAGGCCUUCGGGUUGUAAAAAUCUUUUCUAUGGGAAGAAAAUGACAGUACCAUAGGAAUAAGGACCGGCUAAUUACGUGCCAGCAGCCGCGGUAAUACGUAAGGUCCGAGCGUUGUCCGGAAUCAUUGGGCGUAAAGGGUACGUAGGCGGGUAAGCAAGUUAGAAGUGAAAUCCUAUAGCUCAACUAUAGUAAGCUUUUAAAACUGCUCAUCUUGAGGUAUGGAAGGGAAAGUGGAAUUCCUAGGGUAGCGGUGAAAUGCUCAGGUAUUAGGAGGAACACCUGUGGCGAAAGCGACUUUCUGGCCAUACCCUGACGCUAAGGUACGAAAGCGUGGGUAUCAAACAGG
rnacentral:rRNA from 1 species